GGGCAGGUGGUUCAGUGGUAGAGUGCUUGCCUUGCAUGCAUGAGGCUCUGGGUUCGAUUCCUUAGCUCCCCA
rfam:Dipodomys ordii contig_47372, whole genome shotgun sequence.